AUUGAACGCUGGCGGCAUGCCUUACACAUGCAAGUCGAACGGCAGCAUGAUCUAGCUUGCUAGAUUGAUGGCGAGUGGCGAACGGGAGAGUAAUACAUCGGAACGUGCCCUGUAGUGGGGGAUAACUAGUCGAAAGAUUAGCUAAUACCGCAUACGACCUGAGGGUGAAAGUGGGGGACCGCAAGGCCUCAUGCUAUAGGAGCGGCCGAUGUCUGAUUAGCUAGUUGGUGAGGUAAAGGCUCACCAAGGCGACGAUCAGUAGCUGGUCUGAGAGGACGAUCAGCCACACUGGGACUGAGACACGGCCCAGACUCCUACGGGAGGCAGCAGUGGGGAAUUUUGGACAAUGGGCGAAAGCCUGAUCCAGCAAUGCCGCGUGUGUGAAGAAGGCCUUCGGGUUGUAAAGCACUUUUGUCCGGAAAGAAAUGGCUCUGGUUAAUACCUGGGGUCGAUGACGGUACCGGAAGAAUAAGGACCGGCUAACUACGUG
rnacentral:rRNA from 1 species